UAUUUGAGCAACAUGUUUUCUUCCUCUUCCUAUCCAUCUAACGUGAACUUCUUUCUUCUUCUCCUCCAUUUUAACUUGAGCCUCUCUUUCUCUUCUCUUUGUUUUCUUCACUUAUACUCACUAAAUCCACCAAUUUGACACCAUUCAACUUGAUCUAAUUAAUCAAUCUUUGAGAUUAAAGCUUGAGAAAUGAUAUUUGGUGAAUAAUUUCAAGUAAUUUGGAGGACAAAGGGUGGAUAACUUCCUACCAAAGACAAGGGAAAACUAAGGCAUCAAGAGUCUUAUUUAAGCUUGUUAGAGCUUAUGUUUAAGGUAAGUGUUCAUAAAUCCUCUUACCUUGUUUAAAUUUUUGAUUUUGUGAAGUUUAUACUAUUUUGUGAAAAUUGGAAAUUUUAUAUGAAAUAAUUUGAUUAUUGAAUUUUGGUGGUAUACAUGUGUUCUUGGGAGAUUUCUAAGCAUGCUUAUAUGUUGAAUUGAUGAGGAAAACAUUUUCUUCUUCAUCCUCCAAGAGUGGCAGAACCUAUUGAUGAAUAAGGCCUUAAGUUUUCUUGUUAUUCUUUGAGGAUUUGUGAUCUUAAGAUGAUAUUUGAUGAGUAUUGAGUAUGUGGUAGAAAUCUCUACCUUGUAUAUGAUUUAAGUAAGCUGAAAUUAGGAAAAAGUGUUAUUGGGUGUGAUUAAGGACUAUUUUUCGAUCCCUUGCAUUUCCCAUUAGUGUCUGAGUCCUUCAUGAAAGUUGUAGGUCUGCUCCUUAGCUUUCCAACCCAUCCUCUUGCGUCCAAUUUGGAUAUAUAUAGCUCAACUUAUGGCUGAAACACCCAAACUGACUCUGUUAUGACGGGCUACUUGCAUCAUUGAAUUGAGUGCCCCUUUUGACCACCAUAAUGAUAAGAUUAUGUUCUGAGUUCUUCAUGAGAGUUGUUGCCCUGUGUCUUGAGACUUCUCUGGUUUUGG
rnacentral:lncRNA from 1 species